GACGAACCGUGCGAACGUUGUUCGGAUUCACUGGGCUUAAAGGGCGCGUAGGCGGGCGGUCAAGUCAGAGGUGAAAUCGUUCGGCUUAACCGGACAAGUGCCCCUGAUACUGGCCGCCUCGAGGGAGGUAGGGGCAUGUGGAACUUCCGGUGGAGCGGUGAAAUGCGUAGAUAUCGGAAGGAACGCCGGUGGCGAAAGCGACGUGCUGGACCUCUUCUGACGCUGAGGCGCGAAAGCCAGGGGAGCAAACGGG
rnacentral:rRNA from 1 species